rnacentral:rRNA from 1 species
AUACGGAGGGUGCAAGCGUUACUCGGAAUCACUGGGCGUAAAGCGCGCGUAGACGGCUUAUUAAGUCAGAUGUGAAAUCCCCGGGCUCAACCUGGGAACUGCAUCUGAUACUGGUAAGCUAGAGUUUUGGAGAGGGAAGUAGAAUUUCAGGUGUAGCGGUGAAAUGCAUAGAGAUCUGAAGGAAUACCAGUGGCGAAGGCGACUUCCUGGCCAAAAACUGACGCUGAGGUGCGAAAGCGUGGGUAGCAAACGGGAUUAGAAACCCUAGUAGUCC